rnacentral:rRNA from 1 species
UACAGAGGUCUCAAGCGUUGUUCGGAUUCAUUGGGCGUAAAGGGUGCGUAGGCGGCGCGGUAAGUCGGGUGUGAAACCUCCAGGCUCAACCUGGAGACGCCAUCUGAUACUGCCGUGGCUUGAGUCCGGUAGAGGAGCAGGGAAUUCCUGGUGUAGCGGUGAAAUGCGCAGAUAUCAGGAGGAACACCAGCGGCGAAGGCGCUGCUCUGGGCCGGUACUGACGCUGAGGAGCGAAAGCGUGGGGAGCGAACAGG